rnacentral:lncRNA from 1 species
AUGGUUCUGAAAUGUUUUGUGAGCUCUAACCUUGUCGUACCACAAAUAUGCAUGCCACCCAAACGCAUUCUUAAACCUGUUUCUGAUGACAAGUGUACAUUUUCCUCAUCCUCAAUAAACCAUGCAGUGGAAAAGACACUUGAAGAUGGAAGCCUGAGAGAGAGGAAAAGGUUUCUGGCUGCUUCCUGGGUGGGAUGGCGGAAACAAAGAGCCGCUUCUGAGAAGGCCUCUCCCCUCCCCUCCCCUCCUCUCUUCCUCUUUCCUCUCCUCUCCAGGGUGAACAAUGGUUGGACUGGGCAGAAUCGCUGUGUCUGGACAGGGCAGGAGCUUAUGGGGUGGGAAGAGGAUGGAGCUUGCAGGAAGGAAGGGGUGGGGGAACUGGAGCCCCCACUUUCCAGGGAUCCCUCUCUGGUUGCCUUGAAGGGGGGUCGAUUCUUGGGUGGGAGGGAGAAGCCAAGGCGGCCCCUUCGGAGAUUCCUCGUGGGCGCACUAUGGAGACGUCUCCCUACAGACUGGUCUCCUCCCCCCAACCUCGCCAAUGCUGCGCUUCCUUCCCCAGGGAUGCUCCCCUCCCUCCUCCCCCCGGCUCCCCCCACCCUUGGCCCCCUCCCUCUCUCCCGGAGUCUCCCCUGCACCCAGAGGCCCCCUUGGCGCGGCUCACCCCUCGCCAUGCGCGACCCAUCUCUCCAUCCGGAGGGGCCCCCCAAGACGAGGUGGGGAGGGACAGGGGGGUCUCUAUCCAGGCGUCUCUCGCGCCCGUUAACCCUUUCAUGGUCUGCCUCUCUCCGCGCGGAGCGCACAGGGCCCCAGGGAUGCCUGCGCGGGGGAAACGGGGCCGGGGAGUCCUCGUGGGACCCCGUGGGUGGGCGCCCCAUGUCCUCCCCUGCCGAGGAAAGCCCCCUUCGCAACACGCGUUCAGGGAUCCAGGCCCUGCCGGGGGGGCCACGGAAGGCGCUUUGGGGAGCUGGCGCGGAGUCCCUCUCUAGCUCCUUCUCUCCCCUCUCCCCCCCCCCCGCCGCGACCCCUUUACCUCUUUGUCCUGGUUCCCGAUUUUCAUUUCAUUUCCUGCAACAUCGAUGUUUGCGGGGGGAUCCCCUGCCGCCCCUCCUCCCCUUUCCGAAAGGGCGCGCCCCUAGAGCUAUGGCGCUGAGCGGCAAUCCGGCGUCGAAGCUCCACUUCCGGGAGAAGCAGCAGUUUGGGAGGAGGCUCACCCCCCCCCUUAUUCCCGGAACAGAAGCCGGAUUGGAGGAGGAGGAGGAGGAUCCUGAUACUUCCAAAGGAGAAGCCCAGGAAAGCCUUGCAGCUGGGGGGAUCUGUGAAUAUGGUUCUUAUUGGAAGAGGUUCUUAUUGGAAGAGGGUAGUUUAAAAAUGUGUGGGAAGCUGGGGUUGUUGACAGGGGUGGGUGACGGGCUCAUGUUUCUGAAUGCCAAAGACUCCUACUUUGUGACAAAUCUGUGA